rnacentral:misc_RNA from 1 species
UUUCUAAGGAUGAUCAAGAAUUGGAACUCUUUAUCAAUAAAGAAUAUUCCUUUUUGAUCUCAUUAGACAUACAGGUCUUAAACAAUUUCGUUUAAGCCUUUGCAUAUGACACCACUCUUUAUGAACCCCUUCUUCAAAGAGAGGUUCCUCUUUGAUAAAAAGAGAUAGCCAACUUGAUGAGAAAGUUCUCCUAAGAGCCAAGUGUUCAUAUGUUUAAGUUAUACAAGCAGGCUAGCCGUCUUCGUUUCUCUUUCUUCAGAUGAUGAUCCCAAGCCUUCUGGCGAUCUCUUAAGUAUUAAGGUUCCCUCAUUUUUAAAGGGUGCUUUAAGGAAAAGAGCUCUAAAAAGCUUUUGUGUUAAGAGUAUGCCGGGGAAGGUUUUCCGGUUUAUCCCGGAGGGCUUGUAGCUCAGUUGGUUAGAGCGCGCGCUUGAUAAGCGUGAGGUCGGAGGUUCAAGUCCUCCCAGGCCCACCAAUCACUCUAUCAAUUUCAUAAAGCGCUGGCGGACUUACUUAUAGGCAAGAAGUCUAUAAACCGAUAAAGCCUAUAAAUUUGUAAGAAACUUACAUAACUUUCUGGGAAAGGGCCUUAAGUGCACUUGUAAAAGGACUGAAGAGUGAUGUGAUCACUUAAAAUGAGGUUACUCUUUGAGAGGUCCGUAGAGAAAAGACAUUUGUUUUGGCAAGGUGUUUACAAAGGGCAUUAAGAGAGGAGCUUUACUGUUUGCUUUCAGCAAUUGAGAGUCAAAGCUCUUUAAAGGUAAAGUAUCCCAUUUAAAUUGGUCUUUCCUGUAAGUCUUCUUAUUUUGAGAGUUUGGAAUGGGUUAUGCUAUUUUAGGGGCCGUAGCUCAGCUGGGAGAGCACCUGCUUUGCAAGCAGGGGGUCGUCGGUUCGAUCCCGUCCGGCU